rnacentral:rRNA from 1 species
CAAUAGCGUAUAUUAAAGUUGUUGCAGUUAAAAAGCUCGUAGUUGGAUUUCUGGGAGGGUGCCGCCGUCCGGCGUGUCCGUGUGCAGUGGCGCCCUUCCAUCCUUCUGUUAGCGUCUCUUGGCAUUCAUUUGCUGGUGGCGGGCUCAGAUAUUUUACCUUGAGAAAAUUAGAGUGUUUCAGGCAGGCUAGGCCGGAAUACAUUAGCAUGGAAUAAUGGAAUAGGACUACGGUCUCUUUGUUGGUUUGAGGGACUGCAGUAAUGAUUAAUAGGGAUAGUUGGGGGCAUUAGUAUUUAAUUGUCAGAGGUGGAAUUCUCAGAUGUGUUAAAGACUAACUUAUACGAAAGCAUUUGCCAAGGAUGUUUUCAUUAA